GAUGAACGCUGGCGGCGUGCCUAAUACAUGCAAGUCGAGCGAAUGGAUUAAGAGCUUGCUCUUAUGAAGUUAGCGGCGGACGGGUGAGUAACACGUGGGUAACCUGCCCAUAAGACUGGGAUAACUCCGGGAAACCGGGGCUAAUACCGGAUAACAUUUUGAACCGCAUGGUUCGAAAUUGAAAGGCGGCUUCGGCUGUCACUUAUGGAUGGACCCGCGUCGCAUUAGCUAGUUGGUGAGGUAACGGCUCACCAAGGCAACGAUGCGUAGCCGACCGGAGAGGGUGAUCGGCCACACUGGGACUGAGACACGGCCCAGACUCCUACGGGAGGCAGCAGUAGGGAAUCUUCCGCAAUGGACGAAAGUCUGACGGAGCAACGCCGCGUGAGUGAUGAAGGCUUUCGGGUCGUAAAACUCUGUUGUUAGGGAAGAACAAGUGCUAGUUGAAUAAGCUGGCACCUUGACGGUACCUAACCAGAAAGCCACGGCUAACUACGUGCCAGCCGCCGCCAGCG
rnacentral:rRNA from 1 species